GACCACAAUGGUGGCCUAGUGUUUAGAGCCUCUGCCUCAGAUGCAGGAGGUCAUGGUUUGAUCCCCAGCCAUGUCA